GACGUAGGGGGCCAGCGUUGUUCGGAAUUACUGGGUGUAAAGGGUUCGUAGGCGGUGCGGCAAGUUGGGAGUGAAAUCUCUGGGCUUAACCCAGAGGCUGCUUCCAAAACUGCUGGGCUUGAGUGUGGGAGAGGCGCGUGGAAUUGCAGGUGUAGCGGUGAAAUGCGUAGAUAUCUGCAGGAACACCCGUGGCGAAAGCGGCGCGCUGGACCACUACUGACGCUGAGGAACGAAAGCUAGGGGAGCAAACAGG
rnacentral:rRNA from 1 species